CUCCAGCUGCUAUGCUCUGCAUCUCCUUCGACUCCUCUCCUCGUCUUUCUUGCGUGACUCCUGCUCGAGUGCGGGGCGUGGAGAUGGUUGUCCGCGGCGCCGGCGCACGACGCGGAGAAGCGGCGGUGGCGUGUUGUGGCUGUACUGGGUUGGCCGGCUGAUGCCGCUCGGAUCCUGUUCGACGAGAUUGUCGGCGACGUGUUGCGGGAGCAGGAGAGUGGGGUCUAGUCCCGGCAGUUUGGGGCACGCUGCUGUUGCUCGUGCAGGAGAACGGUGGCUGCAGCGGCGCGUUCGGGGAGAGCUACGUCGACCCCAUCUUCGUUAUACACGGCAGCCGACCGAGCUCCGUGCGCCGGUUUGGUGUCCGGGAGCUGGCGGCAGGAAGUCAAGGUCAUCGACGUCGCAGUCCAUAGAUCAUCCUCCCUGUUGUGACACCCCACAGGCACUUUCCUCUUUGGUCGCCCCUCCUCACGGACGCUUCAGAACGACAUCUUAGCACGAUGUCGGUGGAGGAGAGGAUCACUAUCGUGCGCUCAGCGGCUGGAACAUGCUGAGGUCCUCAUUCGACCUUAAUUUCAAGUAGCAUUUCAUUCAUUUGGUCUGGGGCAAGUGAUGAACGCCUUGAUGCGCAAGAUCUUGAACUUACAUGCUGGCAGGAGAAUAUAUUCCUGCCAUCGACAUGGUUCAGUCUCCAUGGGUCAAACUGCGUAACGGCUUGUAGGCAACCAGAGAUGAUAAUCAAGCCUUCAUCGCACACCUUGGACUCGGCUCGAAACUGUACCUCCCAUUAAAAAUCAUGUCCUGGUAAGAUGAGAUGUAACCAAACCUAUAGGUAAUGUGAUUUUGUAAUUUUGGCGUGCCAACGGAUUUUGGUGGAUGUUGGUUGUUUUGGGCAUGUGGUUUGUGUUGUCGGAAUUUUGAGGGGUAUUUUUAGUAGAUGUUGGUUCCUGCUCAUCCAUGUUUGGCUCUUCUAAUACCUAUGCACUCAUCUUGGAAUGAUGGUUUAUGAGAGCAUGU